UUGGACUGGAAACCAGAUCCAGAUGUCUUGUCAAGGGAAAGAGUGAGUAGCUCUCCAUUGUUGAGUAUCUUAGCACGCCCAUUCUCCCAAGUGAUGUCAAAGUCUUGGUUGAAGUUACCUGCUGUGGCAGCCAUUAAGAAGCUCACUGCUACAGAGAUUAGCAGGGCCAUUGAGGGAUAUGCUGUAUGGUUGGUAGGAGGUGUUUGAAGAUAAGAGUUUGAUUUCAGUGAAUUAAAAUUGAUCUCUCUCAGCUCACAUUUAUUCUAAUGGUGGAGAGAGAGGGGUUACUGUCGGGAUGGUUCGAAGUUAGAGAGCCAAAAAAUGAGUUGCAUACAGCUGGCAGUGGCAUAAGUACUCAUAAUAAUUAAUACAACCAAAAUUGCCUUAAGUGAUAUUUUUAAAAUCAUCACAAUAACGUGGUAAUAUGGUAUCGCAAUCCAAAAGUACUCAGCAAAUAUCCUUGCUUUUAACUUCUGCCGCGCCCCUUAACCAGGUCUGGAGUCCUUUCCAGUAUAUCAAAGUAGUUAAAAGCUCACAAAAGCUUAUCCUGAUCAUUUGACGUUGAUCAUUACUUGAUUCCAAUCAUUUUCUUUUUACUGUAGUAAAGCCUUUGGCUUAAGAUCCAGACCACAAAAAGGGCAUUUCAGUGUAAAAAUGUGCUGGACCACUGCUUCUUUCGGCCAUUUUUCCUAGUGUGAAGGAUUCUAAUCUCCUGAAUGCCAAAAAACAGGGAGAGAGACAAAUAGCACCUGCCCAAGCCACCAUCAUUGCCAGUUGGUAGUUCCAAGUGCAUCAGUCAGACAACAAACAAACACUGAUAGCACAAGCCGAGUUACAGCCCGAAAAAGGCAUGUGAUUCUCAUGGCUUCAAAUGCAGUUUACUUAUUAUUUGCUAUGGGUUAAGAGCAAGAAAAGAGAGAAAAAUGCCAGACAUCACAUAUCAAUGUAUUUAUUUCUGAUCUUUUAUUAUAUAUAUUGUCUAUUUAUUUUACAUUGUAACACUGAUUUCUCUCAUGUUUUUCAGUGGAAACUAAGAUGGGGAACAAGGAAAGAAUAGUACCAUGCGUCGAACGCCUUUUAAGUUACUGUGCAUUCUGUAGGAAGGCCCUGGGGGAACCGCCCUGUAUCAGCGCAGUAGUUGUAAAUCAUGUAGUUGUCCUCAACCCAUUUCAUCUUCUGCUGGUCCUUGAAAUCAAGCACUUGUGAGAGCCAUGGAGGAGAGUCCCAACUGCAAGAAGAUGUUCCAGAAUACAAUAUACAAGCAUCAGCAUUCAAGCUCCUAAAGGAAGCCGUGAAAGGAGCUUGGCUCCAGUGAGUCUUGACAAGGCCCCCCUCUUGUUGCCCAGUCAUCUGCAAUCCAUAAACUGGAGUAUAUCCCCAUAGGCUGGCUCUGUGGGAAGGGAAUGAGAGAGAUGCCAUUUUUUAGGAAAAAGGAAGGGUAAUAAUAUCCAAAAUGGGUCAUUUUAGGUUAUUAUUCCAAUUUCAAAAGUAUUUAAAAUCUUUUAACCAAAUAUAUAAUUUUUUUAAUUAUGGAUAAGACUUUUAAAAUCUCUUUGACCGCCAUAUAUGUAUUCAGAAAUCCUGAUAUUUAGAAAACUCUUUUAAUAUUUUUAACAUCUAAAAUUUAUUAUUAUUUAAGUGUUAGAAAUACUAAAACGUUUUUUAGAAUCACUUAAAUAUGCAUUAUUAAUAGAUUAAUGUUUAAGUGGAUUCUACUGUAGCUGCUUCUGGUUUGUACUAAAGGAAAUCCUUUUCAAUGUACCUUCUGUUCUUUGUCUAGUACUUUGAAAGGAUCCAUGAUAUGAGGUUGACACACUGUUACAUGCCAUUUAUGGAGAAAGUGAUCUUUUAUUGUAUGUAUAUAUACAAUGUAAACAAUGUGGUAUUUCUGUUCUUCUAAUGGCGAUUAAAAUGAUUAAGAAUGAAAGAAUUGAAUUUUGAAAUUACAGAAGCAAACAAUGAAGUGAAUGGCCUUAAGGUUGUGUUUCCUCUAUGACAUGGUGGUGGUAGUGCAUUCAGGAGGAAGGCCCUGUGGGAAUCGCUUGGUGUCAGAGCAGUAAUUGUAGAUCAUGUAAUUCUUCUGCACCCAUUUCAUUCUCUCUUGGCUUGUGGAAUCAAGCUCUUGUGAGUACCACUCUGUAUUGGUGGAGGUAGAAGUGGGAGUAUUUGAACUGCAAGAAGAAGCUCCAGAAGACCAGAUGCAAGCAUCUGCAUUGAAGUUCCUAUAGGAAGCAGUGAAGGGAGCUUGGCUCCAGUCUGUCUUGACAAGCCCACCUCUUGUUGCCCAGUCAUCUGCAUUCCAGAGACUGGAGUAUAUCCUCAUGGGCUGGUUCUUUGGGUAUGAAACACCGAUUGACUCAGAGUUCUUGAACUCCCUGAUGGGGGUGCCAUCCACAGAGAAGCUGAAACAGAGAUACCCCAGAUGAGUAAAUCAAUACAAAAACCCAAAAAACAUAAACCAGAUUGCAGUAUUGGAGAUUAGAAUAAUAGCACUUACAUAAUCCGCUGGGGAUUCCAAAGUAUGGAAUAGGUAUGGAAAUCAGCAGUUGGGUCAAACCAAAGGUAGAACUGCUGUUCUCUGUUUCCCUUGCCUUGGCUGAACACAUUAGUGUGAAGAAUGUAUGGAUCACCACUGAGAUUGCCCAGGAAUUCGAAGUCGAUUUCAUCAUGGGUUGGCCCUUGUGAAGAUAACUGCAAAUACACACAUACAUAAAUAAGAACUAUAUACUAAUCAGGAGAACAAAUUGUCAUCAAAUGGAGGAUGAUGUGCAACAAGUACUAUGAAAGGCGGGCUUACAUAAUAGGCAGUGACAGUGCCAGCAGAGUUUCCAGGAACAAGUUUGAGCUGCAUAUCAAUCUUGCCAAACAGAUACUCGUUCUUGGACUGGAAACCAGAUCCAGAGGUCUUGUCAAGGGAAAGAGUGAGAAGCUCUCCAUUGUUGAGUAUCUUAGCACGCCCGUCUCCCCAAGUGAUGUCAAAGUCUUGGUAGAAGUUACCUGCUGAGGCAGCCAUUAAGAAGCUCGCCACUACAGAGAUUAGCAGGGCUGUUGAAACAACUGAAAAAGAAGAAUAGAUGGGUGCCAUUGGCGGAUACGCUGUAUGGUUGGUCAGAGGUGUUUGAAGAGAAGAAGUUUGAAUUUAGUGACUUGAAAUUGAUCUCUCAGAGCUCCAAUUUAUACUUGGUGGGAGAGAUAUAGUGAGAUUGAGAGGGUACUGCUGGGAAGGUUCAAAGUGGGAGAACAAAGAAUGAGUUGUAUACAGAUGGCAGUGACAACCAUAUCUACAAAUGGGCUUCCACCUCCCCCCUAAUACUUUUUAAAUCAUCAGAAUCACACGGUUUUGCAAUAGAAAAGUAUUCAGGAAGUACCAUAGUUUUUAACUUCUGCCGCGUCUACCUGUCUCCCCCCCACCUCCCCCACCUCCCCCCAAAAUUGCUUUUGUCCGUUUCCAAUAUAUCAAACAGUUCAACAAAAAACAGCUCUCCAGUGUAAAAAUGUGCUGGACCAGAGCUUCCUACAUACAUCACUCCACCCACUGUCUUUCUAUGUCUAGAAAUCCUAAAUGCCAAAACAGGGAGAGAAAGAUAAGUAGCACCUGCCCAAGCCAUCAUCAUGCCCAGUUGUAAUAAAAAACAGCCCACCGUCUUUCGAAGUGCUUUUAUUGGAAACGUUCUUUCUAAAAGUACUUUUUGGGAAAAUCACAUGAAAAUGAUUUUUUAAUUUUUUAAAAGUGAUUUCUAAAUUUUAUCAAAUAUUUUAUUUUUUUCAAAAAUACUUUUAAAUUAGAAAUAAUAUUUAAAAAUAUUAUCAAACAUACACUUUAAGUUUUGACACUACAUCUUUUUUUUUUUUUUUAGAAUAUUGCUAUCUUUUAUAAUUAACUACCAUCUUUUAUAUUUUAGAGUAUUAACUUUUUAUUAUAUCUAUUGUUUUUAGAUUUAUAAGUCAUUAUGUACAAGUACUAUAUGAUACAAAUAUAAUAUUUUUUAUAAAUUAAUAAAUAUUUAUUUAUCAAUAAAUUAAUAAAUUAUUCAUUUAUAAGUAAAUCAACAAUUUAUUAAGAUUAUGUUUGGUUUUUGGAAAAUACUAAGGAAAGAAAAAAAAUGUAAAGGAAAAUAAUUUUUUCAUGUUUGAUUGUCUUAUAAAAAAUAUAAAAGAAAAUCAAAUAUAAUUAAAACUAAUUAAAAACUUAUAUAUUUUUAAAUUAUUUAAUUUUUAUAUUGAUGAGUUAAAAUAAAUAAAAUGAGUUUGAAGUAACAAAAAAAUAAUUUAUCAACUUUUAAUUUAUUUUUUUAUUUUUAUUCACUUUUUCUUUCCUUUUACUUUUUCUUUGUAUUUUCUUUCCCGUUUUCUUCAAAUUUUAUGGAACCAGGUGAUAAUUUUUCUUGGUCUCAAGAAUAGGGUUCUUAUUGAAGUUUUAAAAAGCAUACUACAAAAUUCACAGGUGGCUUAGUAUUCAUGAAUCAUAUCUCUUGUAAUAGUAACUAAUAAUCAAUCUAUCUUUCAUCAGAGAGUGAAUCAGACUCAAAAGCCAGUGAGGGAAAUGAUUGCUUUUAUGGCCAAUUAACUAUAGGGAUCAUGGAUUUGGGGGAGAAGGUUUCAUUUAGGUUAAUUUGAAACAUUGGUGAUUUUUGAUUUGUUUGUUUGCCGCCUUCAUCAUGCAUGGAGCAUUUUGAAUGAUUCAGUGCAUAGUUUUGGUGACUCUUAACUGAAGUUUCUUGCUGUUUGUGAUUGAAGUGGAAAGAAAUUAAGAUUAUUUACUCUUUAAAUUUGGUGUAAGGCCCAAUCCAUAUCUGUCAGAAGUUAAAGAACAAGCAGAAACAGAGAAAGGGCUAGAAGUUACAUUGACAAUGGUUCAUCUCCUCAGUUAUUUUCAACAAUUUUCUUUUCUUUGUCAUUCGUAAAGAAUAUUUUAUUAUUUGUAUUGUGCCAUAUAUUACAAUGUAAACAAUAUAAUAUUUCUGCUGUUGUAAUAGCAACUAAAAUGAUAAAGAAUGAAAGAAUAGAAAUGAAGAAAAUUUCAAAAGCAAACUAUCUGAUUGAAUGGGCUUAGGUUCCAUUCCUUCUAAGACAAGGUGGUGGCAGUGCAUUCAGGAGGAAGGCCUUGUGGGAAUCGCUUUGUAUCUGUGCAGUAAUUGUAGAUCAUGUAAUUCUUCUGUACCCAUUUCAUUCUCUCUUGGCUUGUGGAAUCUAGCUCUUGUGAGUACCACUGACCACUGGUGGAGGUAGAAGAGGGAGUAGUUGAACUGCAAGAAGAUGCUCCAGAAGACCAAAUGCAAGCAUCUGCAUUGAAGUUCCUAUAGGAAGCAGUGAAGGGGGCUUGGCUCCAGUCUGUCUUGACCAGCCCACCUCUUGUUGCCCAGUCAUCAGCAUUCCAGAGGCUGGAGUAUAUCCUCAUGGGCUGGUUCUUGGGAUAUGAAACACCUAUGGACUCAGAGUUCUUGAACUCUCUGAUGGGGGUGCCGUCCACUGAGAAGCUGAAACAGAGAUACCCCAGAUGAUUGAGCCAAUUAAGAAACCAAAAAAAAAAAAAAAACAUAAACCAGAUUUCACUAUUGGGGAUUAAUUACUGUACUACUUACAUAAUCCGCUGGGGGUUCCAAAGGAUGGAAUAGGUGUGGAAAUCAGCAGUUGGGUCAAACCAGAGGUAGAAUUGCUGCUCUCUGUUGCCCUUGCCCUGGCUGAACACAUUAGUGUGAAGAAUGUAUGGAUCACCACUGAGAUUCCCCAAGAAUUCGAAGUCUAUCUCAUCAUGGGUUGGCCCUUGUGAAGAUAGCUGCAAUUACACAAACCAGAAUGGUGAUUUGUGAGUCAGGAGAAGAUGAAACCAAGAAAGCAUUUGAUGGAAAAGCACUUGGUAAAGAGGAGGCUUACAUAGUAGGCAGUGACAGUGCCAGCUGAGUUACCAGGCACAAGCUUCAGCUGCAUAUCAAUCUUUCCAAACAGAUACUCAUUCUUGGACUGGAAGCCAGAGCCAGAGGUUUUGUCAAGGGAGAGAGUGAGAAGCUCUCCAUUGUUGAGUAUCUUGGCACGGCCAUCACCCCAAGUGAUUUCAAAAUCCUGGUACAAGUUACCAACAGAAGCAACCACAAAGGAACCGAGCAGAAGAGAGACCAAGAACAACUUUGGUGAAAGAUUCCAAGUAGAAGGAGAAGCCAUUGAAUGUGAAUUUAGAGACGAGAAAUGGAAGUAGUUUUGAGCGUGGAAGUGAAGAGAAUGGCGUGGGUAUGUGGGGGUUUUAUAGUAGGUGUCGUGGGGGAAAGUGGAAGGAGAUCGAGAAGAAGGUUCAGUCAGCAGCUGUACACGGUUGAAGAUGUAAAGACAACAGUUGUCAUCAAAUAGCAAAACCCAGUUCAUUUUCACGCGGAUUUUGCAUGGAUUUAAAAGAGAAAAGUGCAGAUCCACUUUCCCAUUUCCCAAGCACCAUUCAUCGCUCAUAACUAAAGCCACCACCGCCACUGAGUAAAAAACAAAAGCGAAUCAAACCCUUGAAACCGUGUCUCUCAUUAUUAUUUUUCAUCUCCAGUUGUAUCCGAAAAAGAAUCACCAAGCCCACAAAUAAAGUCAUAAUAGUAGGAGCCAGUAACAGCCCAAAAGCUCUGUGCUUCGAUGAAACCACCAUCUACUUGGUUUCCUGAAAAGAACUACUCACUGCCCUCUGCUCAACUAAUUUUUAAUUGUGAUGGGUUGGCUUAGAGUUUAAAUUUUAAAACUCAUGGAUCAAGGGGUGGGCCAUGUGCUUGAAGGCUUAAACCAACUGGUUACGAUAUUUCUUUUGGACAAUGUUAGAAUAUCUUAUACUAAUGCGGUGUUUGUUUUUUUACUUAAUUUUAAAUAGAAUCUUAAUACUUAAUAAUGUUAAAUAUUAAAUUAUUUAUUUUUAUAGUAUUUUAUUUUUAUUAAGUAUUAAAAAUUAAAAAAAAAUCAAUAUAUUAUUUUUUUUAUUUAAAAAAAACUACAUAUUUUUUAUUUAGUAAAAUGUUUAUAAUAAGUUAUGAAAAAAUAGAAAAUCAAACAACCUAAAUUUUGAAAACAAAUUACUUUUAGUAAAAAAAAAAAAAAAAAAUACCACCUAAGUAUCUUACUUCUUGAGCCAUUAUUUUGAUGACGUUGACAUUGUUACAAUUGCCAAUAGCUUUUUAUAUGGUUCAAGUCAAACCAACAGGUCACAAAUCAACACAAUUUAAGCAUUAUUCAAAACUGUUUUAAGGAUAGAUUUUCAAAACUCUUCUAUAAAGAAUAAAAAUUUGUUUGAGAAUUUAAAAUAUUUUUUUUAUAACUUUCAAUAUUUUAAAAAUAAUUUAUUUUUAAUCAUUAUUUAUAUUUGUAUAAUUAUUUUUUAAAAUAAUUUUUGAAAAAUAAGCCAAAACAAUUGAAAUAAUUAAAAGAUAUUAUUUGAAACCAAUUUUUAGAAAUAUAAAACUAUCUUUUUUUAAUAUUUGGUUGUUAAACAUGUUUUCCUCUUCUUUUUUUAUUUUUAUUUUUUUUUAUCAUGGAAACAUAAAACCAUUUUAAAAAGUAAUUUCCAAAUAAUACCUAAAUCUUGGGUGACAACAUUAUGUUUACUAAUUUCGGUAGGGAAAGGAGGGCAGCUGUUGAAAAAGAGGUCAUAUUUUUUAUUUUCCUUAUUAUUUUUCAAAACCAAAUAUAAUGUAGAAACAAUAGUAUUGUGAUUUCACUCUCUUCGUUACUUUGUGGGGUUCAACAUUGAGGUUGAGAUAAUGAUAUACAUGCCAUUCAUUGAGAAAGUAAUCUUUGUUGUAUUCAUGUAUUACAUUGUCAACAAUGUGGUGUUUCUGAAAUUCUGAUGGCAACAAAAACGAUAAAGAAUGAAAGAAUAUAAUUUUGAAAUUAUAGAGGCAAACAACGAAGUGAAUGGCCUUAGGUUCUGUUCCCUCUAGGACAUGGUGGUGGCAGAGCAUUCAGGAGGAAGGCCCUGUGGGAAUCUCUUUGUGUCUGCGCAGUAAUUGUAGAUCAUGUAAUUCUUCUGCACCCAUUUCAUUCUCUCUUGGCUUGUGGAAUCUAGCUCUUGUGAGUACCAUCCCCCAUUGGUGGAGGUAGAAGAUGGAGAGGUUGAACUGCAAGAAGAUGAUCCAGAGGACCACAAACAAGCAUUGGCAUUGAAGUUCCUGUAGGAGGCUGUGAAUGGUGCUUGGCUCCAGUCUGUCUUCACAAGCCCGCCUCUUGUUGCCCAGUCAUCGGCAUUCCAGAGACUGGAGUAUAUCCUCAUGGGCUGGUUCUUCGGGUAUGGGACACCUAUGGAUUCAGAGUUCUUGAACUCUCUGAUGGGGGUGCCAUCCACAGAGAAGCUGAAACAGAGAUGCCCCAGAUGAGCAAAUCAAUACGAAAACCCAAAAAACAUAAACCAGAUUGCAGUUUUGGAGAUUAGGAUAAUAGUACUUACAUAAUGCGCUGGGGAUUCCAGAGGAUGGAAUAGGUGUGGAAAUCAGCAGUUGGGUCGAACCACAGGUAGAACUGCUGCUCUCUAUUUCCCUUGCCUUGGCUGAACACAUUAGUGUGGAGGAUAUAGGGGUCCCCACUGAGGUUCCCCAGGAAUUCAAAGUCGAUUUCAUCAUGGGUUGGCCCUUGUGAAGAUAACUGCAAUUACACACAUACAUGAAUGAGAACUACAUACUAAUCAGGAGAACAUAUCAUCAAAUGGAGGAUGAUGGGCAACAACUAAUAUGAAUGGGGAACUUACAUAGUAGGCUGUGACAGUGCCAGCAGAAUUUCCAGGGACCAGUUUGAGCUGCAUAUCAAUCUUGCCAAAGAGAUACUCAUUCUUGGACUGGAAACCAGAUCCAGAGGGCUUGUCAAGGGAAAGAGUGAGAAGCUCUCCAUUGUUGAGUAUCUUACCACGUCCAUCCCCCCAAGUGAUAUCAAAGUCUUGGUAGAAGUUACCUGCUGAGGCAGCCAUUAAGAAGCUCACCACUACAGACAUUAGCAGGGCUGUUGAAACAGCUGAAGAAGAAGAACAGAUGGGUGCCAUUGAGGGAUAUGCUGUAUGGUUGGUAGGAGGUGUUUGAAGAGAAG
rnacentral:lncRNA from 1 species